rnacentral:rRNA from 1 species
CCUGGCUCAGGAUAAACGUUGGCGGUGCGCCUAAUGCAUGCAAGUCGCACGGAGCUUCGGCUCAGUGGCGGACGGGUGAGUAACACGUAGGAACCUGCCCGGAAGUGGGGGAUAACUCCUCGAAAGAGGAGCUAAUACCGCAUGUGGUCUACGGACCAAAGCAGCAAUGCGCUUCUGGAGGGGCCUGCGGUGGAUUAGCUAGUUGGUGGGGUAAUGGCCUACCAAGGCGACGAUCCAUAGCUGGUCUGAGAGGACGGCCAGCCACACUGGGACUGAGACACGGCCCAGACUCCUACGGGAGGCAGCAGCAAGGAAUUUUCCGCAAUCGACGCAAGUCGGACGGAGCAACACCGCGUGGAGGAAGACGGCCCUAGGGUUGUAAACUUCUUUUGUGAGGGAAGAAGAUCUGACGGUACCUCACGAAUAAGUCACGGCUAACUACGUGCCAGCAGCCGCGGUAAUACGUAGGUGGCGAACGUUGUCCGGAUUCACUGGGCGUAAAGCGCGCGCAGGCGGAUCGGUAAGUCUGAGGUGAAAGCUCCCGGCUCAACUGGGAGAAGCCCUUGGAUACUGCCGAUCUUGAGACACUUAGAGGAGAGUGGAAUUCCCGGUGUAGUGGUGGAAUGCGUAGAUAUCGGGAGGAACACCAGUGGCGAAAGCGGCUCUCUGGGAGUGUUCUGACGCUGAGGCGCGAAAGCGUGGGGAGCAAACCGGAUUAGAUACCCGGGUAGUCCACGCCGUAAACGAUGAGUACUAGCUGUCUGGGGUAUCGACUCCCUGGGUAGCGCAGCUAACGCGAUAAGUACUCCGCCUGGGGACUACGACCGCAAGGUUAAAACUCAAGGAAUUGACGGGGCCCGCACAAGCAGCGGAGCGUGCGGUUUAAUUCGAUGAUACGCGAAGAACCUUACCAGGGCUUGACAUGGCACUGACCGCCGAUGAAAGUCGGUUUCCCUUCGGGGCAGUG